CCUACGGGAGGCUGCAGUGAGGAAUAUUGGUCAAUGGACGAGAGUCUGAACCAGCCAAGUAGCGUGAAGGAUGACUGCCCUAUGGGUUGUAAACUUCUUUUAUAAAGGAAUAAAACGAGGCACGUGUGCCUUUUUGCAUGUACUUUAUGAAUAAGGAUCGGCUAACUCCGUGCCAGCAGCCGCGGUAAUACGGAGGAUCCGAGCGUUAUCCGGAUUUAUUGGGGUUAAAGGGAGCGUAGAUGGGGUGUUAAGUCAGUUGUGAAAGUUUGCGGCUCAACCGUAAAAGUGCAAUUGAUACUGGAAGUCUUGAGUACAGAUGAGGUAAGCGGAAUUCGUGGUGUAGCGGUGAAAUGCUUAGAUAUCACGAAGAACCCCGAUUGCGAAGGCAGCUUACUAAGCUGUGACUGACACUGAGGCUCGAAAGUGUGGGUAUCAAACAGGAUUAGAUACCCCAGUAGUC
rnacentral:rRNA from 1 species